CCUACGGGUGGCAGCAGUGAGGAAUAUUGGUCAAUGGGCGGAAGCCUGAACCAGCCAAGUAGCGUGCAGGAUGACGGCCCUACGGGUUGUAAACUGCUUUUAUACGGGAAUAACGCGCCUUACGUGUAGGGCUUUGCAUGUACCGUAUGAUUAAGGACGGGCUAAUUACGUGCCAGCAGCCGCGGUAAUACGGAAGGUCCGGGCGUUAUCCGGAUUUAUUGGGUUUAAAGGGAGCGUAGGCCGCAUGUCAAGCGUGCUGUGAAAUGUCCGGGCUCAACCCGGGCGUUGCGGCGGUGACUGGCAUGCGUGAGUCCGCGGAAAGCAGGCGGAAUUCGUCGUGUAGCGGUGAAAUGCUUAGAUAUGACGAAGAACACCGAUUGCGAAGGCAGCUUGCUGCAGCGGAACUGACGCUGAUGCUCGAAAGCGUGGGUAUCGAACAGGAUUAGAUACCCCUGUAGUC
rnacentral:rRNA from 1 species